GACGAACGCUGGCGGCGUGCCUAAUACAUGCAAGUCGAACGCACUCUCGUUUAGAUUGACGGAGUUUGCUCCUGAUUGAUAAACAUUUGAGUGAGUGGCGGACGGGUGAGUAACACGUGGGUAACCUGCCCUAAAGUGGGGGAUAACAUUUGGAAACAGAUGCUAAUACCGCAUAAAACCUAACACCGCAUGGUGUAGGGUUGAAAGAUGGUUUCGGCUAUCACUUUAGGAUGGACCCGCGGUGCAUUAGUUAGUUGGUGAGGUAAAGGCUCACCAAGGCCGUGAUGCAUAGCCGACCUGAGAGGGUAAUCGGCCACACUGGGACUGAGACACGGCCCAGACUCCUACGGGAGGCAGCAGUAGGGAAUCUUCCACAAUGGACGAAAGUCUGAUGGAGCAACGCCGCGUGAGUGAAGAAGGUUUUCGGAUCGUAAAACUCUGUUGUUGGAGAAGAAUGUAUCUGAUAGUAACUGAUCAGGUAGUGACGGUAUCCAACCAGAAAGCCACGGCUAACUACGUG
rnacentral:rRNA from 1 species